CUCCGGCAGAACACCCUGGUUGAAAAUUUCUUGAUUAAAUCAAGAAAUUUUCAACCAGGGUGUUCUGCCGGAG